rnacentral:rRNA from 1 species
CUCUGUGACUCCUACGGGAGGCAGCAGUGGGGAAUAUUGCACAAUGGGCGCAAGCCUGAUGCAGCCAUGCCGCGUGUAUGAAGAAGGCCUUCGGGUUGUAAAGUACUUUCAGCAGUGAGGAAGGCGGAGUCGUUAAUAGCGGCCUCGUUUGACGUUAGCUGCAGAAGAAGCACCGGCUAACUCCGUGCCAGCAGCCGCGGUAAUACGGAGGGUGCGAGCGUUAAUCGGAAUUACUGGGCGUAAAGCGCAUGCAGGUGGUUCAUUAAGUCAGAUGUGAAAGCCCGGGGCUCAACCUCGGAAUUGCAUUUGAAACUGGCAGACUAGAGUACUGUAGAGGGGGUAGAAUUUCAGGUGUAGCGGUGAAAUGCGUAGAGAUCUGAAGGAAUACCGGUGGCGAAGGCGGCCCCCUGGACAGAUACUGACACUCAGAUGCGAAAGCGUGGGGAGCAAACAGGAUUAGAUACCCUGGUAG